rnacentral:rRNA from 1 species
UACGUAGGAGACGAGCGUUGUCCGGAAUUACUGGGCGUAAAGCGCGUGUAGGCGGAUGGGCAAGUCUGCUGUGAAAGCUCCUGGUUUAACCGGGAGUGGUCGGUGGAAACUGCCAAUCUGGAGGACGGUAGUGGUAGGUAGAAUUCCCGGUGUAGUGGUGAAAUGCGUAGAGAUCGGGAGGAAUACCUGUGGCGAAGGCGGCCUACUGGGCCGGACCUGACGCUGAGACGCGAAGGCGUGGGGAGCGAACGGG